rnacentral:lncRNA from 1 species
UGCGUGUGCAACGGACUGGGCAGGCACGGCUAGCCGUGACGCCUCGGCUGGAAGGGAGAAACCGCCAGAGCCAGAAGAGAAAUGUUGUCAUCUGAAAGGAAAUCUGAUCUUUCUAAUGAAAAGUAAGAAAAAAGAAUUUCAGCCUGGAGAUCCAGAUCUUUAUCUUAAAGACUGCCUGCCUGUGAAUCUUGGGCUGUGGCACCCAACAAAUUCUGAAGAACUGUGAAUUCAAAUUUGUCAGGUUGAGAGAUUGAUCAUGGAUAUCAAGGAAGAAGGGGCACCAGAGGAAGAACAGCGCUUUAUUCCAUCUGCACAAGCAGAUAGUUAUGUGGAGUCUAAACUCACAAGUAAGUAAAUUCAUCAUGUAAGCUAUCUGCUGUAUAAUGAUCCUGUGGAUGGUGUUAGAAAAACUAAUUCUAAAUGUAUAGAUACUCAAUUUCAUAAAAUAUCAUAGAUAAAAAUAUAUUUCUAUUUUACAAAU